rnacentral:SRP_RNA from 1 species
GCCAGGCAAGGUGGCAUGUGCCUGUAGUCCCAUCUACUCGGGAGGCUGAGGUGGGAGGACUGCUUGAGCCCAGGAGUUCUGGGCUGUAGUGCACUAUGCCGAUCGGGAGUCCACACUAAUUUCGGCAUCAAUAUGGUGGCCUCCCGGGAGCGGGGAACCACCAGGUUGCCUAAGAAAGGGUGGACCGGCCCAGGUCGGAAACAGAGCAGGUCAAAACUCCCAUGCUGAUCAGUAGUGGGAUCACGCCUGUUACUAGCCACUGCACUCCAGCCUGGGCAACAUAGUGAGACCCCAUCUCU